rnacentral:rRNA from 1 species
ACGGGAGGCAGCAGUGGGGAAUAUUGCACAAUGGGCGAAAGCCUGAUGCAGCGACGCCGCGUGAGCGAAGAAGUAUUUCGGUAUGUAAAGCUCUAUCAGCAGGGAAGAUAAUGACGGUACCUGACUAAGAAGCACCGGCUAAAUACGUGCCAGCAGCCGCGGUAAUACGUAUGGUGCAAGCGUUAUCCGGAUUUACUGGGUGUAAGGGGAGCGCAGGCGGUACGGCAAGUCUGAUGUGAAAGCCCGGGGCUCAACCCCGGUACUGCAUUGGAAACUGUCGAACUAGAGUGUCGGAGGGGUAAGUGGAAUUCCUAGUGUAGCGGUGAAAUGCGUAGAUAUUAGGAGGAACACCAGUGGCGAAGGCGGCUUACUGGACGACAACUGACGCUGAGGCUCGAAAGCGUGGGGAGCAAACAGAAUUAGAUACCCUGGUA